rfam:Nomascus leucogenys chromosome 10, whole genome shotgun sequence.
UCUCAUGCUGUGACCCUCCAGAGGGAAGCGCUUUCUGUUGUCUGAAAAACCAAAGCGCUUCCCUUUGGAGCGUUACGGUUUGAGA